UACGAAGGGGGCUAGCGUUGUUCGGAAUCACUGGGCGUAAAGGGCGCGUAGGCGGCUUGAUAAGUCGGGGGUGAAAGCCUGUGGCUCAACCACAGAAUUGCCUUCGAUACUGUCGGGCUCGAAUCCGGAAGAGGUGAGUGGAAUUCCUGGUGUAGCGGUGAAAUGCGCAGAUAUCAGGAGGAACACCAAUGGCGAAGGCAGCUCACUGGGACGGUAUUGACGCUGAGACGCGAAAGCGUGGGGAGCAAACAGG
rnacentral:rRNA from 1 species